GUAGGUGGCAAGCGUUGUCCGGAAUUAUUGGGCGUAAAGCGCGCGCAGGUGGUUCCUUAAGUCUGAUGUGAAAGCCCCCGGCUCAACCGUGGAGGGUCAUUGGAAACUGGGGAACUUGAGUGCAGGAGAGGAAAGUGGAAUUCCACGUGUAGCGGUGAAAUGCGUAGAUAUGUGGAGGAACACCAGUGGCGAAGGCGACUUUCUGGCCUGUAACUGACACUGAGGCGCGAAAGCGUGGGGAGCAAACAGGGAUUAGAUACCCUGGUAGUCCACGCCGUAAACGAUGAGUGCUAAGUGUUGGGGGGGUUUCCGCCCCCUCAGUGCUGCAGCUAACGCAUUAAGCACUCCGCCUGGGAUACGGUCGCAAGACUG
rnacentral:rRNA from 1 species